rnacentral:rRNA from 1 species
UACGAAGGGGGCUAGCGUUGCUCGGAAUCACUGGGCGUAAAGCGCACGUAGGCGGCUUUCUAAGUCAGGGGUGAAAUCCCGGAGCUCAACUCCGGAACUGCCUUUGAUACUGGAAAGCUUGAGUCCGGGAGAGGUGAGUGGAACUGCGAGUGUAGAGGUGAAAUUCGUAGAUAUUCACAAGAACACCAGUGGCGAAGGCGGCUCACUGGCCCGGUACUGACGCUGAGGUGCGAAAGCGUGGGGAGCAAACAGG